UUUGAUCAUGGCUCAAGACGAACGCUGGCGGCGUGCUUAACACAUGCAAGUCGAACGAAGAGCGAUGGAAGCUUGCUUUCUAUCAAUCUUAGUGGCGAACGGGUGAGUAACGCGUAAUCAACCUGCCCUUCAGAGGGGGACAACAGUUGGAAACGACUGCUAAUACCGCAUACGAUCUAAACUCGGCAUCGAGGAUAGAUGAAAGGUGGCCUCUACAUGUAAGCUAUCACUGAAGGAGGGGAUUGCGUCUGAUUAGCUAGUUGGAGGGGUAACGGCCCACCAAGGCGAUGAUCAGUAGCCGGUCUGAGAGGAUGAACGGCCACAUUGGGACUGAGACACGGCCCAGACUCCUACGGGAGGCAGCAGUGGGGAAUCUUCCGCAAUGGACGAAAGUCUGACGGAGCAACGCCGCGUGAGUGAUGACGGCCUUCGGGUUGUAAAGCUCUGUUAAUCGGGACGAAAGGCCUUCUUGCGAAUAGUGAGAAGGAUUGACGGUACCGGAAUAGAAAGCCACGGCUAACUACGUGCCAGCAGCCGCGGUAAUACGUAGGUGGCAAGCGUUGUCCGGAAUUAUUGGGCGUAAAGCGCGCGCAGGCGGAUAGGUCAGUCUGUCUUAAAAGUUCGGGGCUUAACCCCGUGAUGGGAUGGAAACUGCCAAUCUAGAGUAUCGGAGAGGAAAGUGGAAUUCCUAGUGUAGCGGUGAAAUGCGUAGAUAUUAGGAAGAACACCAGUGGCGAAGGCGACUUUCUGGACGAAAACUGACGCUGAGGCGCGAAAGCCAGGGGAGCGAACGGGAUUAGAUACCCCGGUAGUCCUGGCCGUAAACGAUGGGUACUAGGUGUAGGAGGUAUCGACCCCUUCUGUGCCGGAGUUAACGCAAAUAAGUACCCCGCCUGGGGAGUACGACCGCAAGGUUAAAACUCAAAAGGAAAUUGACGGGGGCCCGCACAAGCGGUGGAGUAUGUGGUUUAAUUCGACGCAAACGCGAAGAACCUUACCAGGUUCUUGACAUUGAUGGACAGAACUAGAGAUAGUUCUUUUUUUUCGGAAAGCCAGAAAAACAGGUGGUGCACGGUUGUCGUCAGCUCGUGUCGUGAGAUGUUGGGUUAAGUCCCGCAACGAGCGCGAACCCCUAUCUUAUGUUGCCAGCACGUGAAUGGUGGGAAACUCAUGAGAGACUGCCGCAGACAAUGCGGAGAAAGGCGGGGAUGACGUCAAUUCAUCGUGCCCCUUAUGACCUGGGCUACGCGCGUACUACGAAUGGGUAGACGGAAGAAGUUGCGAAG
rnacentral:rRNA from 1 species